rnacentral:pre_miRNA from 1 species
CGCCUCUGUUUCGCGCGCAAGAUGUGAUUUCAGUCCUUCUCCUGUGCGUGUGACAGCGGCUGA